GAGCGCCAGCGCAGUCAGUUCCGUGAGCGCGCGACAGCUUGGUUGACGUAUGCGCUUGGCUCGACACGCCGCGCUCUCGUGAGAUUCUAUUCGCUAUCGUUAUAGUGUGUUGUGCAUUGGAUAUUGCCGUGUACAAUGCAGUGAGUGAGCACUGGCCGGAGCGCCGGUCAUGUGCCAACGCUAGAUCGUCCUGGUGGUUGACCUUUCAAGAUGAAUUUGGGGGAAAUUACAAAUAGGAAAAGAGAUAUUUCUAAUUCUUGUCAUGCUGAAACCGCUGUGACGAUUAUACGAGGCAGCGUUCGCGCCAACCGGUGAGCCGACAACAGGGGCCGAGUUGUUCCCGCCAAAACGAGCGCAGGCUGUGGCGCGAAGGCUCGUGAUUGGUCGAGAGAAGCGGCGCGGUGGCGGUGGCGCGGCGCGCUGCGCAAGGCCGCCGGUUUUCCCGCGAACAAUGCCAAAUGGUGCAUUUGUCAAGGAUUUCAUGUCAUGGCCAAACUAUAAAAUGGACUGCAAUCGGUGACUACUACGGAGAGCAGUUGAGGAAAGCCUGAUUUUUAAAGAUAUUUUAUUGAAAUAUAAUAAAUAAUAUUAUAUAAGCAAAA